GUUUGCUGGUACAUGCUGCUGAGAAUUCAACUUACCUAUUUAUCAUACGUGCUUUCGGGGAAACAUCGAACUCUGCUGUGCGCACGCGCAGUGAGUUUCACCAAACUGGCUUUUAAUGGACUGGAAGGUGAAACCCUCAACACUCGCCAAGAAAUCUCUCCCUGCGCGCGUUUCAACUUUCACAGUCAGCACGAUGGCAAAGUGGUUGGUUGUUUUGGGAUGCUUUGCGAUGUUGUUCGUCUUUGCUUUCAGCCAACAUGAUUGUGGCUCUUACUGCAGUUUUAGUGAGGUUAGACGAAGAUGCAUCGAAUCGGCACCAUCACCAACUGGUAGGAGAAAGCGAAAUGUUGGGGACGAACGAGAGCCUUCAUUGUUCCAGUAGUAAUUUAGACGCAACUAACAGGCAAGAGGCGAUGUAAUUUCCUUCACUGCCUGAAUCUUGCCACCUGGCAGUGGAGGGACUGCACGGCUACGAUGUCCGCGGUGGACCCUCACUCCAGCCACGCAUCAGCUGUCCUGGAUGACCACACGAUCCUCAUCGUGGGUCGCGGCGAGACUGGGACUCAUGCCAAGUAUGGAUGCAACAUUGACUACUUGGACACCCGGACACUCAAGUGGUCCACCUUCCCGGGCAGCACGAUAUCCCGUGCUGGGCACACGGUGACCUUUGCCCCCAGCAUUUGCACUAGAUAUGCUUUUGUAUACGGCGGGCGACAACGACACGAGACUGAGCACAUUGUUUGCAAAGUGAAGCAUCCCCUGCCGGCACUUUUUUCGUCGGGCUUCCCAGAGGCAAUGCUGAAAAAUGGAAGGAGGGUUGAGCCACCUCCGGGCAGGAGCUACCACAGCGCCGUGGACGUCAACGGCGUGAUUGUCAUCUACGGAGGCUUCAUCCAAGGGAAGUCAGUCAGGGGCUUGUUGGACGGGGUCAAUGAACUUUACCUCCACAAUGGACAGAACCAGGCAUGGCUUGUACCACAAUUAAAAGGGGAAUGGCCCAAAAGGGCAGGGCAAAUAGCGGCUCGGAUUGGGGAGGCCAGUAUUCUUCUUUUUGGAGGAGAACAUGCUGGAAGGCAAUUUAAUGACGUUCAUGUCAUCACAUGGUGAUGCAACAGACAUCUAGCGCACUGAAAGUACUUGCCAAUUAUCAGAAAUAUUGUUCAGUAUCUGAAUGAUGCCUCUAUAAAUGCUUUAAAAUUUCAUGUGUGCUUCUCAUCUGUUGUUACAUGCAAAAUGGACUUUGGUGUUGAUAUGGAUGAAAUUCAGUUUGUUAGUUCAUUGCUAUUCAUGAAAUUUGUUUAUAUAAUUGUUAUGCCUUAAAUUAAUUUACAAAAGUCUAGGAAUAGGCAAUGGAUGGAAUAUCAGUCGGUUGAAAGGAAGUUAACCAGAAUGUUUGAAAAUGAGGCAAACCUUCACAAAAAAAUGGAGGGAUAUUUGUUUGCACAGAAAUGUUGAAGUACUUGUAUUGUGUUUUUGUUGGUUUUCCAUUUUUUCAAAAGUUUCUCAAACUUCACGGUCAAAAAGUUGGUUUGAAAUUUUGUUUUGCUUACACUCUUGAUUUAAAGUGAACCCAAAAGUACUACAUAAACUGAUACCUGUAUAAUACUGCCUAAUGACAACUUCCUGAGUUUUCCCUAUGUAUUUCGAGCCAUUUGCUUUUCAAUGACAUAGACGUACAGCAUAAAACAAAAUGGGAUGACGGAUGAUCAUUUAAUAAACGCCAAAGAAAUCAGCCUUUCGACCUCAGAUAGUAGAACAGAACAACCUUAUUAUCCCUCUUGGGGAAAUUUACGUGGCCUUUAGAGAAAACAAAUCACAGGCAGGACGAAUAAAAAUUAUAUAGAAACUAAAAUUACACUCAAAAUGUAUAGACAGGUUAAGAUAGUAAAACAAGAACAUACCCAUGAAACACUGAUAUGAUUACAGUAAAUAAAAAAGUCCAACUCUUACAGUGAAACUCAGAAUUCAAUUACAAUUCAUAAAAAUACAGUGUACACGCACAGAAAUAAUAAUUAUUAAUGGAAUUAUCAUUCAGCGAAAGGGACUUGUUCCACAGUAGCUCCUCGUUCCAGCGUCUCGUUGUGCGUGAACAAAUGAGUCACCGUAGCACUGUGUUCUGAUUCUUCCUGGUAGAAGGCGAAUACUCCUAGAACUGAAAUGAAAUUUCAAAUUUGGCAUGAAACGAAUGAUGCGAUUCUGACACAACAAUUUUUGUUUUUUUACGCGUGAGGAAUUUAUACAGUGCUUUGGGAGACCAACAGAUCUGCCUACUUGUUGAACAGUUCGACUUUGAUCGUAGGCCCUUGUAUUUUCAUAGACACAAAUUAGACAAAAAAUGAAAAUACUCUGUACUAAAGUGUAGCAAAACAUUUGGAGCACCAUCUGGUCAACAUCAUCCUCGAUAAAAAUCAUUCCAGGUGGUAAGUACGAAGCAUUCUCUGAGAGACUCGAUUGCUUGACUUCACUAGGAUUUCACUUGAAUCUUCUUGGCAGGUCCUUGUCAAGGAUACUCUGCACGAUAUGGGCCGAGCCCCCCCCCCCCGUCCAAUCCAUGUACACACUCUAGACUAUUGUUACCCAACAUAUCCCCCCUAGAUGUCUGUAAUCGAGCUAAUAAUGGUUUCGCUCGGUAUGCCCAUAGAGCUACAUGGUAUGCCCUAGCAAUAGCAUUUGUCCAAGCAUGCAUUGUAACGAGUCGGGCAGUUCAUAUACUGGUAAAACGUGGGCAAACAAUCGGACUACAUGAGUCGAAGUUGAAGAUAAAUAGUGCUAUAAAUACUUGAUAUAACGGUUUUUGUCCUUACCCAAUGUAUAUACAGUGUAUUAAUAAACACUUUUUGGUCACUGUAAAUUACAAUCCCCCCUACACAAAUA
rnacentral:misc_RNA from 1 species